AGAGUUUGAUCCUGGCUCAGAUUGAACGCUGGCGGCAUGCUUUACACAUGCAAGUCGAACGGCAGCAUGACCUAGCUUGCUAGGUUGAUGGCGAGUGGCGAACGGGUGAGUAAUACAUCGGAACGUACCCAAUAGUGGGGGAUAACGCAGCGAAAGCUGUGCUAAUACCGCAUACGUCCUACGGGAGAAAGCGGGGGAUCUUCGGACCUCGCGCUAAUGGAGCGGCCGAUGUCAGAUUAGCUAGUUGGUGGGGUAAAGGCCCACCAAGGCGACGAUCUGUAGCUGGUCUGAGAGGAUGAUCAGCCACACUGGGACUGAGACACGGCCCAGACUCCUACGGGAGGCAGCAGUGGGGAAUUUUGGACAAUGGGGGCAACCCUGAUCCAGCCAUGCCGCGUGAGUGAAGAAGGCCUUCGGGUUGUAAAGCUCUUUCGCAAGGGAAGAAAACUUAGCCACUAAC
rnacentral:rRNA from 1 species